rnacentral:misc_RNA from 1 species
UCCGGUUUGUCACCGGCAGUCUCAUUAGAGUGCCCAACUGAAUGUAGCAACUAAUGACAAGGGUUGCGCUCGUUGCGGGACUUAACCCAACACCUCACGGCACGAGCUGACGACAGCCAUGCAGCACCUGUUCAGCGGCCCCGAAGGGCGUUAAUAUUUCUACUAACUUCCACUGUAUGUCAAGUCUGGGUAAGGUUCUUCGCGUUGCAUCGAAUUAAACCACAUGCUCCACUGCUUGUGCGGGUCCCCGUCAAUUCUUUUGAGUUUCACCCUUGCGAGCGUACUCCCCAGGCGGUAUACUUAUCGCGUUAGCUCCGGCACAACUGGGGUUGAGUCCAGCUACACCAAGUAUACAUAGUUUACGGCAAGGACUAC